rnacentral:lncRNA from 1 species
AUGGCACCAAAAGCAAAGAAGGAAGCCCUGGCCCUUCUCAAAGCUGAAGCCAAAGUGAAUGCCUCAAAAGCUAAGAAGGCAGUGCUGAAAGUCAUCCACAGCCACAAAAAGAAGAUAUGAAUGUCACCUGCCUCCAGGCAGCCCAAGUCUCUGUGGCUCCAGAGACAGCCAAAAUAUCCUUAAAAUUGUGUGCCCAGGAGAAACAAGCUUGUCCACUAUGCUGUCAUCAAACUCACACUGACCACCGAGUCAACCAUGAAGAAAAUAAAGAAUAACAACAUGCUUGUGUUCAUUGUGGAUGUCAAGGCCAACAAGCACCAGAUCAAAGAGUCCGUGAAAAAACUCUAUGACAUUGAUGUGGCCAAAGUCCAUACCCUGACAAGGCCUGACAGAGAGAAAAAGGUGUAUGUUUUCUUAGCUCCUGAUUAGGAUGCUCUAGAUGUUGCCAAGAUGAUUGUGGUCAUCUAA